rnacentral:rRNA from 1 species
UCUACGGGAGGCAGCAGUAGGGAAUUUUGCGCAAUGGGCGCAAGCCUGACGCAGCAACGCCGCGUGCACGAGACGGCCUUCGGGGUGUAAAGUUCUGUCAGUGGGGACGAAAAAUGACGGUACCCACAGCGGAAGCACCGGCUAAAUCCGUGCAAGAAGCCGCUGUACUACGGGGGGUGCAAGCGUUGUCCGGAAUCAUUGAGCGUAAAGAGUUCGUAGGCGGCAUGUAACGUCAGGUGUUCAAGGCGCAGGCUCAACCUGGGGAUGGCAGUUGAUACUUGCACGCUGGAGUGCGGUAGAGGUAAAGGGAAUUCCUGGUGUAGCGGUGAAAUGCUUAGAGAUCAGGAGGAACACCGGUGGCGUAAGCGCUUUACUGGGCCGUAAUUGACGCUGAGGAACGAAAGCCAGGGUAGCAAAUGGGAUUAGAUACCCCAGUAGUC